AAGACUAACGUCCCCUAGAAAAAUUGCUUUGGAGCUGAUUUCCUGGUAUUGGGAGAGAAACUAGCGUCCGGAUCAAAGGAUUUAUUUGCAUAUUUUGGAGCAAUGCCACUGACAUGGUGUCUUUCAAUAUACAGGGAAUAGCCGUUAUUUAGUGCAAAUAACUGGUCAAAGCCAUAGUAUGCAAGGCAAAGAGGGAGUACUGGAAAGGGAGUGAAAUAUACAAUAGGAUGGAUGCCAAAUAGCUGUCAAUUGAUGACUAUGUUGAUCGGAACUAUUAUUCUGGUGAAAUGGUGGCACUAACGAUUCAAUAUCGUACGGGAAUCACAGCCCUAGGAACCACGAGUCCCGAGAGAUUGUAGUUACAGGUAUUCCUAUCCCAAGGUUUGGAAAAUUUCCACGCGACCGGCACUAGGUGAUGGCCAAAUCUACUGGUUUCACAUAGCCGUCUUAGUCCCUGAAUCAGAUUCGAGAGCUAGACGGAUCGCAUGAUAUGCAACAUGAGGAGCCAAUGUUCGAUCUGCUUUGGUUCUAUCCCGAUGACCAUGGCGGCUGAACUACAUUGCCCCACAAUGCUGAUUACCUUUGGAAAUGUACAAUCAAUUAAACAAUCUGACGCAGAAAACACCAGCACCGCACAAACGUAAGAGAUUCUGUGAUGGACCAACGUUGCCGCAAGAGAACACUGGUAGCAAUAGGUUUGUUCCAGUACCAGGAGAAACUGGAAGUACUCCGGAGAAAACAGGGAGAAAAUCGUUCCUUUAUUAUCUUCUU